rnacentral:rRNA from 1 species
GUCUUUUUGAAAAUAAUUUAAAGUCUAAUCUGCCCACUGAAUUUAUUUUAAAGGGCUGCAGUAUAUUGACUGUACAAAGGUAGCAUAAUCAAUAGUCUUUUAAUUGGAGACUUGUAUGAAUGAUUUGAUGAGAUAUAAACUGUCUCUUAAUUAUGUAUAAAAAUUAAUUUUUUAGUUAAAAAGCUAAAAUAUUUAUAAAAGACGAGAAGACCCUAUAGAGUUUCAUAUUUUAUUUUAUUUGAAUUUUAUAUAAAAUUUUUAAUUUAAAUAGAGUAAAAUAUUUUGUUGGGGUGAUAAAAAAAUUUAAGAAACUUUUUUUAAAAAUUUAACAUUAAUUUAUGAUUGUAUGAUCCAUUAAUUAUGAUUAUAAGAAUAAAUUACCUUAGGGAUAACAGCGUAAUUUUUUUUUUUAGUUCAAAUAAAAAUAAAAGUUUGCGACCUCGAUGUUGGAUUAAGAUAAAAUUUAAAUGCAAAAGUUUAAAAUUUUGAUCUGUUCGAUCAUUAAAAUCUUACA